AGAGCUCCAGACAGGGAGAGACAAGGGAGUUGGACUCCACUCCUGACACUGCCACCAACUUUACUGUGUCAAUUCCAGCAAGUCCCUGUCUUUCC
rnacentral:miRNA from 1 species